ACGAACGCUGGCGGCACGCUUAACACAUGCAAGUCGAACGAGAGAAGAGAAGCUUGCUUUUCUGAUCUAGUGGCGGACGGGUGAGUAACACGUGAGCAAUCUGCCUUUCAGAGGGGGAUACCGAUUGGAAACGAUCGUUAAUACCGCAUAAUAUAAUUGAACCGCAUGAUUUGAUUAUCAAAGAUUUAUCGCUGAAAGAUGAGCUCGCGUCUGAUUAGCUAGUUGGUAAGGUAACGGCUUACCAAGGCGACGAUCAGUAGCCGGACUGAGAGGUUGAUCGGCCACAUUGGGACUGAGACACGGCCCAGACUCCUACGGGAGGCAGCAGUGGGGAAUAUUGCACAAUGGAGGAAACUCUGAUGCAGCGAUGCCGCGUGAGGGAAGAAGGUUUUAGGAUUGUAAACCUCUGUCUUCAGGGACGAAAAAAGACGGUACCUGAGGAGGAAGCUCCGGCUAACUACGUGCCAGCAGCCGCGGUAAUACGUAGGGAGCGAGCGUUGUCCGGAAUUACUGGGUGUAAAGGGAGCGUAGGCGGGAUCGCAAGUCAGAUGUGAAAACUAUGGGCUUAACCCAUAAACUGCAUUUGAAACUGUGGUUCUUGAGUGAAGUAGAGGUAAGCGGAAUUCCUAGUGUAGCGGUGAAAUGCGUAGAUAUUAGGAGGAACAUCAGUGGCGAAGGCGGCUUACUGGGCUUUAACUGACGCUGAGGCUCGAAAGCGUGGGGAGCAAACAGGAUUAGAUACCCUGGUAGUCCACGCCGUAAACGAUGAUUACUAGGUGUGGGGGGACUGACCCCUUCCGUGCCGCAGCAAACGCAAUAAGUAAUCCACCUGGGGAGUACGACCGCAAGGUUGAAACUCAAAGGAAUUGACGGGGGCCCGCACAAGCAGUGGAGUAUGUGGAUUAAUUCGAAGCAACGCGAAGAACCUUACCAGGGUUUGACAUCCUGCUAACGAAGUAGAGAUACAUUAGGUGCCCUUCGGGGAAAGCAGAGACAGGUGGUGCAUGGUUGUCGUCAGCUCGUGUCGUGAGAUGUUGGGUUAAGUCCCGCAACGAGCGCAACCCUUACUGUUAGUUGCUACGCAAGAGCACUCUAGCAGGACUGCCGUUGACAAAACGGAGGAAGGUGGGGAUGACGUCAAAUCAUCAUGCCCCUUAUGACCUGGGCCUCACACGUACUACAAUGGCUGUCAACAGAGGGAUGCAAAGCCGCGAGGUGGAGCGAACCCCUAAAAGCAGUCUUAGUUCGGAUUGUAGGCUGCAACCCGCCUACAUGAAGUCGGAAUUGCUAGUAAUCGCAGAUCAGCAUGCUGCGGUGAAUACGUUCCCGGGCCUUGUACACACCGCCCGUCACGCCAUGGGAGUCGGUAACACCCGAAGCCUGUAGUCUAACCGCAAGGAGGACGCAGUCGAAGGUGGGAUUGAUGACUGGGGUG
rnacentral:rRNA from 1 species